AUUAACAAGUGUUUGGGUAGUGUAUGGCUACACAACAGAGAAACUUAAGAUGGUGGUGGGAACUGAAGAACACUUCUCAUUUCAUUAGCAUCAAUAGCUUGUGCCAACGUUGUGGUCGGUCGACGCUGACCCAGUCACAGCAAUGAUUAGAGUAGCCAUAGUAUUGUGCAACCUGACAACUCACUUCAGCCUGUCAGCAAACUACAUGGCAACUACAUGGCGUGCUAUUCUAAGCUGUAGUCACAAACCAGAAGGGCUACAGGAAACUGUGGCAUCUACUCCGUCGUGUGAGCCAGCAAAAUGCAUUGUGUUUGAGGCCUCUGCUUGUAGAUAAGCAGAACCUCGGCUUUGAGUUCUAUUGUUUGAAUCUCAAGGUUGUGCAUAUGUAAAGAAGUCACAUGUAGAUUGCAGUUUUUUAUCUUUGGAUCAAGAUGGAUGAUAUCAAAUGUUGUGUUUUAUUGUGUGAGAGGACCGGGACAGAUUGACUUCUCUAAAUAGAAUACUUUAGUUUUGCAUAGAGAUCUCUUUGAUCAUUUUUCAAUAUCC
rnacentral:lncRNA from 1 species